CCCUUAGAUGUUCUGGGCGGCCCGCGCACUACAAUGGCGCUUUCAGCGAGUUCCUAUGUUGAAUUUUCCUGGGUAUUCUUGGAAGCGGCGUCUUGACUUGGGAUAGAUCCUUGUAAUUGUUGGUUUUGAACGAGGAAUUCCUUGUAAUCGCGGUUGAUCAGCUCGCGUUGAAUACGUCCCUGCCCUUUGUACACACCGCCCGUCGCUCCUACCGAUUGAUUGAUCCGGUGAAUUACAUAGAAUUUUGCGUUUUACAUGACGGAAGAUGAAGUGUUUUAAACCUUAUCAUUUAGAGGAAGGAGAAGUCGUAACA
rnacentral:rRNA from 1 species